rnacentral:lncRNA from 1 species
GCUGUCCGUGUGGGAUCAGUGGGCUGUCUGUAUGGGAUCAGCAGGCUGUUCCUAUGGGAUCAGCAGGAUCUCACUAUGGGAUCAGUGGGCUGUCUGUAUGGGAUCAGAAGGUUGUCCGUGUGGGAUCAGUGGGCUGUCUGUAUGGGAUCAGCAGGAUCUCACUAUGGGAUCAGUAGGAUCUCUCUAUGGGAUCAGCAGGAUCUCACUAUGGGAUCAGCAGGCUGUCCGUGUGGGAUCAGUGGGCUGUCUGUAUGGGAUGAGGCGGCUGUCCGUAUGGGAUCAGUGGGCUGUCUGUAUGGGAUCAGCAGGAUCUCACUAGGGGAUCAGUAGGCUGUCUGUAUGGGAUCAGAAGGUUGUCCGUGUGGGAUCAGUGGGCUGUCUGUAUGGGAUCAGCAGGAUCUCACUAUGGGAUCAGUAGGAUCUCUCUAUGGGAUCAGCAGGAUCUCACUAUGGGACCACCAGGCUGUCCGUAUGGGAUCAGUGGGCUGUCUGUAUGGGAUGAGGCGGCUGCCCAUAUGGGAUCAGUGGGCUGUCUGUAUGGGAUCAGCAGGCUGUUCCUAUGGGAUCAGCAGGAUCUCACUAUGGGAUCAGUGAGCUGUCUGUAUGGGAUCAGAAGGCUGUCCGUGUGGGAUCAGUGGGCUGUCUGUAUGGGAUCAGCAGGCUGUUCCUAUGGGAUCAGCAGGAUCUCACUAUGGGACCACCAGGCUGUCCGUGUGGGAUCAGUGGGCUGUCUGUAUGGGAUGAGGCGGCUGUCCAUAUGGAAUCAGUGGGCUGUCUGUAUGGGAUCAGUAGGAUCUCACUAUGGGACCACCAGGCAGUCCGUGUGGGAUCAGUGGGCUGUCUGUAUGGGAUGAGGCGGCUGACCUAAUGGGAUCAGUGGGCUGUCUGUAUGGGAUCAGCAGGCUGUCACUAUGGGAUCAGCAGGCUGUCUGUAUGGGAUCAGCACUGUCCCUAUGGGAUCUGUAGGCUGUCCGUAUGGGAUCAGAAGGCUGUCCGUGUGGGAUCAGUGGGCUGUCUGUAUGGGAUCAGCAGGCUGUUCCUAUGGGAUCAGUAGGAUCUCUCUAUGGGAUCAGCAGGAUCUCACUAUGGGAUCAGCAG